rnacentral:rRNA from 1 species
GACGAACGCUGGCGGCGUGCUUAACACAUGCAAGUCGAACGGAAAGGCCCUGCUUUUGUGGGGUGCUCGAGUGGCGAACGGGUGAGUAACACGUGAGUAACCUGCCCUUGACUUUGGGAUAACUUCAGGAAACUGGGGCUAAUACCGGAUAGGAGCUCCUGCUGCAUGGUGGGGGUUGGAAAGUUUCGGCGGUUGGGGAUGGACUCGCGGCUUAUCAGCUUGUUGGUGGGGUAGUGGCUUACCAAGGCUUUGACGGGUAGCCGGCCUGAGAGGGUGACCGGCCACAUUGGGACUGAGAUGCGGCCCAGACUCCUACGGGAGGCAGCAGUGGGGAAUAUUGCACAAUGGGCGGAAGCCUGAUGCAGCAACGCCGCGUGCAGGAUGACGGCCUUCGGGUUGUAAACCGCUUUCGCCUGUGACGAAGCGUGAGUGACGGUAAUGGGUAAAGAAGCACCGGCUAACUACGUG